AUGACAGUCAUGUGCGCUCACUCUGGGCAGAAGGCAGAUGCCCCACACAGCGGGACUCGUGGAGAAGAAAACGAAAACGAACAAACAAACAAAACCCCGCCUGAAGAGCCUCAAAUCCAGAGGGCGAGCAGGGCCAACGCAGGGCGAACGCCAGAAGGAUUCAGAAGGUGUGUCUCGAGCACCGGAUUAAUACGUACACACGGCUGUAAAUAAAACAGAUCACGACCAAGCCCCUACUGUACAGCACAGGGGAUUCUCCUCAAUAUUCUGUAAUAAACUAUGUGACUGCUUCACGUGGAAACCUGUUGACUGGCCUCCAGCAUCUCUUCCUGUUGGUUCAGCUGCUCUAGGACAGUGAGGCUAAGUUAUAAACUGGCUCACCUCAGACUUCUAGAACGAGCAAAAAAGAAAAAGCUUAAAUAUGUGGCACAUGAGUAAUCUCAUGUAUUUUCAAAUCCACGUUGAGUCUCAUUCCCUGAAAACAGGGCCGCAAACUAGCUGGUCCUCAGAUGGUUGUGUUUGCAGCAUCUCAUGUCCUAGUGCUUACGCUGCACCUUCCUGGGUCUUCGGUGGCCCUGUGGGGGGCAAAGCUGCUCCCUCCAGAGCCACAGGCCCCACUGGCUGGGCCCAGCGGUGAGGGGCUCCUGGGGCCAAGAUUCCCCUGAGCAUCUAACCCUGGCUCUUCCUGGGGCCUUUGGCCUCACUGCUCUUCUCCAGAGAUUAGAAUAAUUCCUGCUGCCCCUGGAGACGAGAUUUUGCUUCCUGGAUUCCAAUCACAUGAGCAUCUAUCUUUCCUGGCUUGAACCCUCAUGUGGGGUUUCUUUGUCUCAGUCAGCAACUGCCACGCUUCCUGGAAAGGCAGCUCCUGUCCUGCUGGAGACAAAUAGGCUUGUCUGGCAACCACGUUAAACAGGGAGGUACUUUUACACCAUUUUUUAGAAUUAUUCUUUUUCCCUUGAAUUUACUUGUAAUUAUGAGAAUUUAAACACCUCUGGGGUUUGACAUAAGGCCAUGAGGCUUUCGAGGUUUCUGGAGCAAUUCCUGUGUCAAGGAUUCCUGUGCACUCUACCCAAAGAUGAGGUAGAUGGAGAGACACCGAGCCACUCAUUGUGGAUAAUUUGUACCAGGCAGCGUAUUUCGCAGUAUCUCAAGUAGAUACCUUCCUGAUUGGUGAGAGGAGCAAAUGACAAUUCUGACUUCCAGAUAAGUCACUGGCUUCCCUGAAUCCUGGGGCUUUUCAAGGGUCUCUUUGACUCAGGAAGGACCUGGCCUGUCAUUUCCUGAUGACCACACAGCUUCCCAGAUAUUUUUACCUGCUGUGAACUUUCAUCAGCAGAACCAGAGAAAUAUUUUAUUUAUUUUGUCCUUUCCUGGAGAAGAGUUCACAAUAGUUUUCCUUAAAAGAAAACAGAAAGGCCCCAUGCCCACCUUUCUCCCUUCUUUUCCAAUCCAAUAAGAACAAAUACUACAAAAAUAGAUGAAUUUCCCGUUUAUAUUAAACUGGCUUCCGACGUGGCAUUCACAGAACAUGAGUCAGUCAGCUUAUGUCCUCAUCACUGCGCCACCGGCUGAGUAACAAGCAUCCCUCUUUUUCAAAGGACCGAGGAUGCUUAGUUUCUGUUUGUCCUGAAUUGUGAGGUUCUUUUGCUUUGCCUGCCAUGCUUUACAAUGUGAAUACCAACCUCCUCAUGGCUCCUCUCCCUGGUAGCCCGAGUGCACCCCACUGCCCAAUAUAUCCUGGGGUCACGUCCUGGGUUUGCCCCUCCCCUUUGAUGGGGCCACCUGUGUGGUCAACAGAACAUGGUGGAAGUGAUGCAGCUCCCCACAGAGCUGAUGGCAACCUGACUCCCAUCCCAGCCUUGUGCUGGGCUCCUCAUGAACCCCAGAGUGUAAGUACUGCCCGGAGAAGGAGCUGGCUGAUCCUGAGAGAGUAUCAACGGAUAUCUUGUUUUAUCUGAAGCUAACAAUAUUCACUUUUCUGUCACAAGGAGGGAGUUGGGCUUGAGACAGUUAGAUUAAAGAAACAGGAGUCCCCAUUGUGGCUCAGCGGGUUAAGAACCCAACCAGUAUCCAUGAGGAUGUGGGUUGGAUCCCCAGCCUCACUCAGAGAGUUAAAGAUCCAGCACUGCUGUAAGCUGUGGCAUUAGUAGGUCACAGAUGUGGCCCAGAUCUGGCGUUGCUGUGGCUGUGGUGUAGGCCUCUGACUCCACCCCUAGCCUGGGAACUUCCUUAUGUGGCAGGUGUAGCCCUAAAAUUAAAAAAGAAAAAAAAAAAAAAGAGAGACAGAGACACACACACGCACACAUAAUGUUGCACUUUAUUUUCAUAUCCUGAGUUUGUAGCCACUCCAAAUAGACAAAUACUAUUUCUUGUGUGAAGUUUGGGGUUUUUCAGCUUAUGGGGUUAUCUCUCUGAUGCUGCAGAAACCCAGUCACACAGUUAAAGCUUAAUAUCAGGUCAAAGUCAAACACUUUUUUUUUCUUUGUCCGUUUGUAGAAGCAACAACUCCCAGUGGGCGUCAUGGGAGGGGCCCCUUGUCUCUGUGGCCCACGUGCCACCCAUUACUUUUGGACAGCUUGCCUCCAGAACGCUGAGGGAGGCCUUGACACUGAGUGUUACAUUUUGUGCCAUCGUUUGUUCUGGACACCCACGUGCUAGUGGAGAAGCUGGUGCUCUGGUUUCUGCUACAAACUCAGAUUUUGGCUCUUCCCUGAGCGGAAAGAAAUAAAUAUUUGCGCUUUGUUUUACAUUUCAUUAGCUCUCCCUUAAGAUAAUCCAAGCAGAUGCAGUUCUCCCUGCUCUGAGAGUUUGUGCCAGAAAAGACAGUCCUGGAUGAAACAGGGGCACAAAAGAGGCAAGCUGAUGCGAGACAGAGCAAAGGAAACCUAUCAACAAAAUGAAAAGACAACCUACGGAACAGAAGAAAAUAUUUGCAAGUGAUGUGAUGGACAAAGAGUUAAUAUCCAAAAUAUAUAAACACCUCUUACAAUAUUAAAAAACCCCCAAUAACCCAAUUAAAAGUAGGCAGAAGACCCAAACAGAAGGAGACAUGCAGAUGCCAACAGGCACAUGAAAAGAUCCUCAUCCUCACUAAUUAUUAGAAAAACGCAAAUGGAAACGGCAAGAAGGUAUCACCUCACACUGGUUGGAUGGCCAUCAUUUAAAAGACAGCAAAUGACAAUAGAAUGUGGAGCGAAGGGAAGUUUUGUGCACUGUUGAGGGAAUGUAAAUUUGUGUAGCCACUGUGGACAACAGUACUGUGGUUCUGCAAAAACUAAAAAUAAAAGUACCAUAUGAUCCAUCAGUUCCAUUCCUGGUCUAUAUCUGAAGAAAAUGAAAGUGCUAAUUCUAAAAGACGCCUGCACCCCAAUAUUCAUAGCAGCACUCUUUACAACAGCCAAGAUAGGGAAGCAACCUGAGUGUCCAUCAGCAGAUGACCGGAUAAGGAAGAUUGUGUGUGUGUGUGUGUGUGUGUGUGUGUACAAUGACAUACUACUUGACCAUUAAAUAAAGUGAAAUUCUGCUAUUUGAUGAACCUAGAGAAUAUUGUGCUUAGUGAAAUAAGUCAGAAAGACAAGUACUCUUUCUUAUCACGUAUGUGUGGAACCUAAAAAAUUUUUAAAAAAUGAAUAUAUGUAACAAAACAGAAAACAGACUAACAGUUAUAGAGAACAAACUAGUGUUUACCAGCGAGGACAGGGAAGGAGGGGGUGAGGCAGGGGUUUGGGUGAAGUGAUACAAACUAUUACGUAUAAAAAAGAAAAGUAACAAGGACGUAUUACACAGUGCAGGAAAAUAUAGUCGUCAUUUUGUAAUAACUUUAAAUGGAGUAGAAUCUAUAAAAAUAUUGAAUCACUAUGUUAUACAGCUGAAACUAAUAUAGUAUUGUAAAUCA
rnacentral:lncRNA from 1 species